rnacentral:rRNA from 1 species
CCUACGGGAGGCAGCAGUGGGGAAUAUUGCGCAAUGGGCGAAAGCCUGACGCAGCGACGCCGCGUGAGGGAUGAAGGUCUUCGGAUCGUAAACCUCUGUCAGCAGGGAAGAACGGUCACUUUGCUAAUCAGCAGUGAAUUGACGGUACCUGCAAAGGAAGCACCGGCUAACUCCGUGCGAGCAGCCGCGGUAAUACGGAGGGUGCGAGCGUUUAUCGGAAUUACUGGGCGUAAAGCGCUCGUAGGCGGUAUGUCAAGUCAAGGGUGAAAUCCCCGCGCUCAACGUGGGAACUGCCUUUGAAACUGGCAGACUGGAGUGUGUGAGAGGAUAGUGGAAUUCCAGGUGUAGGAGUGAAAUCCGUAGAUAUCUGGAGGAACAUCAGUGGCGAAGGCGACUAUCUGGCACAUAACUGACGCUGAGGAGCGAAAGCGUGGGUAGCAAACAGGAUUAGAUACCCUUGUAGUC